UAGGGUGCAAGCAUUAUCCGGAGUGACUGGGCGUAAAGAGUUGCGUAGGCGGUUUAAUAAGUGAAUAGUGAAACCUGGUGGCUCAACCAUACAGACUAUUAUUCAAACUGUUAAACUCGAGAAUGGUAGAGGUAACUGGAAUUUCUAGUGUAGGAGUGAAAUCCGUAGAUAUUAGAAGGAACACCGAUGGCGUAGGCAGGUUACUGGGCCAUUUCUGACGCUAAGGCACGAAAGCGUGGGGAGCGAACCGGAUUAGAUACCCGGGUAGUCCACGCCGUAAACGAUGGAUACUAGCUGUUGGAGGUAUCGACCCCUUCAGUAGCGAAGCUAACGCGUUAAGUAUCCCGCCUGUGGAGUACGGCCGCAAGGCUAAAACAUAAAGGAAUUGACGGGGACCCGCACAAGCGGUGGAUUAUGUUCUUUAAUUCGAUGAUAACCGAAGAACCUUACCAGGGCUUGACAUCCAGGGAAGGUCUGCGAAAGUAGACUGUGCCUUUUGGAACCCUGUGACAGGUGAUGCAUGGCCGUCGUCAGCUCGUGUCGUGAGAUGUUAGGUUAAGUCCUUCAACGAGCGCAACCCUUGUGAAUAGUUGUAUUUUUCUAUUCAGACUGCCCCGGUAACGGGGAGGAAGGAGGGGAUGAUGUCAGGUCAGUAUUUCCCUUACGUCCUGGGCUAGAAACGUAAUACAAUGGCUAGUACAAUGCGCAGCGAAGCCGCGAGGUGAAGCAAAUCGCAUCAAAGCUAGUCCCAGUUCGGAUUGUAGGCUGAAACUCGCCUGCAUGAAGUCGGAAUCGCUAGUAAUCGCAAAUCAGCAAGUUGCGGUGAAUACGUUCCCGGGUCUUGUACACACCGCCCGUCAAACCAUGAAAGUGACCAACACCCGAAGUCCGAUUCGUCGGCCUAAGGUGGGGGGCAUGAUUGGGGUUAAGUCGUAACAAGGUAUCCGUACCGGAAGGUGCGGAUG
rnacentral:rRNA from 1 species